rnacentral:lncRNA from 1 species
AUCUCUCCGUCCAGAACAAGAUGCUGCUCCUAUAACUUCUGCAGUUGUGGUGCUAUGGUUUCAGAUUCAUCUCCACAUUUUGAAUUUCAAGUGGAUUCACAGAAAUACAAGAGAGACUUCAAAGGAGGAAAGGAAUUGUUAUCAGAAGAUGAUGCUUGCCAGAACACAGGGUGCCCUCUGACAAGCAGGACUUCAGCUCCAUUAAACAUCCCCACGCCCUCGGAACAGAAGACUCAGUGUUCUGUAUUCUUAUGGCUUGGAACAAGCAAAUAUUUCCUCACAAGCAAAUAUUUCCUCCUGUACAUUUCUGAAGUGAUCUCUCUUGCACAACAGCAGUAUGCAUUCAGGCAGUUCACUCUAAUUAUCGCUUUGUAACAUUUUGCAUCUGCUUCUGUUAAGUCACUGAAGUUCCUAGUAUGUUUUCUUGAGUUUUUUUAUUUUUAAACAACUUGUGUCUGUGUCUGUCAACAGCUGCCCUCUUCAUUUUAUGCACUUUGAAUGCAUUCAUUUUCUACAGUGUGUCUUGAUACUGCAGCUCAGCUCCAAGCUGGAACCCACAGCAGUCCUUUGACAGGCUCUCUGUUAGGCUUUCAGGUCAUCCCUAAUUUCAGGUUUUCUUCCAGACUCAUAGAUUUUGUUGUUGAAUGACAAAUAAUACAAUUUAAGCUCUCACAGAAGUGUAGGAACUCCUAGUUCUGCUCUCUCCAGCUGGAGCCAGAAGCAGGCUGGAACACGUGGGUGAGAUAUUUGUAUCCUUGGAGUUAGCUGGUGUCACCCACUCCAUCAAGGUGGGGGUCAGUCUCCUCUCCCAGGUAAAAAGCAAUAGCACAAAGAGGAAAGGACCACAAGUUGUACCAGGGGAGGUUUAAAUUGGAUGUUAGGAAAAAUUUCUUCACUGAAAGGGGGGUCAAGCACUGCAACAGGCUGCCUAGGGAAGUGGAGGCAUUUAAGAGUUGCAUAGAUGUGGCACUUAGGGAUAUGGUUUAGCGGUAGACUUAGCACUGCUGCUUUAACAGUUGGACUCAGUGGUCUCAGAAGUUGUUUCCAGCCUUAAUGAUUCUAUUGUGGGUUCCAACCCAUUUGUAGUAAAGUAAUGGAAUUCCAAAAAAACCGCAGAAUAAAAGUAUAGUACUUUAAAAAGUGUAUUUUAAG